AUUGAACGCUGGCGGCAUGCUUUAUACAUGCAAGUCGUGCGGCAGCGCGGGGGCAACUCUGGCGGCGAGCGGCGAACGGGUGAGUAAUACAUAGGAACGUAUCCUGAAAUGGGGGAUAGCUCGGCGAAAGCCGGAUUAAUACCGCAUACGCUCCACGGAGGAAAGCAGGGGAUCGCAAGACCUUGCGUUUCUGGAGCGGCCUAUGUCUGAUUAGCUAGUGGCGGGGUAAUAGCCCACCAAGGCGACGAUCAGUAGCUGGUCUGAGAGGAUGAUCAGCCACACUGGAACUGAGACACGGUCCAGACUCCUACGGGAGGCAGCAGUGGGGAAUAUUGCGCAAUGGGCGAAAGCCUGACGCAGCCACGCCGCGUGAGCGAUGAAGGACUUCGGUUCGUAAAG
rnacentral:rRNA from 1 species